UACGUAGGGUGCAAGCGUUAUUCGGAAUUACGGGGCGUAAAGCGUGCGUGGGCGGUUGUGCAAGUCCGAUGUGAAAUCCCCGGGCUUAACCUGGGAAUGGCAUUGGUGACUGCACGGCUAGAGUGUGUCAGAGGGGGGUAGAAUUCCACGUGUAGCAGUGAAAUGCGUAGAGAUGUGGAGGAAUACCGAUGGCGAAGGCAGCCCCCUGGGAUAACACUGACGCUCAUGCACGAAAGCGUGGGGAGCAAACAGG
rnacentral:rRNA from 1 species